ensembl:snRNA U4 U4 spliceosomal RNA
AGCUUUGCGCAGUGGCAGUAUCGUAGCCAAUGAGGUUUAUCCAAGGCGUGAUUAUUGCUAAAACUUUUCCCAAUACCCCGCCGUAACGACUUGCAAUACAGUCUGCACUGGCAAUUUUUUUUUUUUUUUUUUGAGA